GAUGAACGCUGGCGGCGUGCCUAAUACAUGCAAGUCGAGCGAACGGACGAGAAGCUUGCUUCUCUGAUGUUAGCGGCGGACGGGUGAGUAACACGUGGACAACCUACCUAUAAGACUGGGAUAACUUCGGGAAACCGGAGCUAAUACCGGAUAAUAUUUUGAACCGCAUGGUUCACAAGUGAAAGACGGUCUUGCUGUCACUUAUAGAUGGAUCCGCGCUGCAUUAGCUAGCUGGUAAGGUAACGGCUUACCAAGGCAACGAUGCAUAGCCGACCUGAGAGGGUGAUCGGCCACACUGGAACUGAGCCACGGUCCAGACUCCUACGGGAGGCAGCAGUAGGGAAUCUUCCGCAAUGGGCGAAAGCCUGACGGAGCAAGGCCGCGUGGGUGAUGAAGGUCUUCGGAUCGUAAAACUCUGUUAUUAGGGAAGAACAUAUGUGUAAGUAACUGUGCACAUCUUGACGGUACCUAAUCAGAAAGCCACGGCUAACUACGUG
rnacentral:rRNA from 1 species